UACGUAGGGUGCAAGCGUUGUCCGGAAUUACUGGGCGUAAAGGGCUCGUAGGCGGCCAACUAAGUCGGAUGUGAAAUCCCCAGGCUCAACCUGGGAACUGCAUCCGAUACUGGCGGGCUUGAGACCGGGAGAGGAGGGUGGAAUACCCAGUGUAGAGGUGAAAUUCGUAGAUAUUGGGUGGAACACCGGUGGCGAAAGCGGCUCUCUGGCCCGGAUCUGACGCUGAGGCGCGAAAGCGUGGGGAGCAAACAGG
rnacentral:rRNA from 1 species